UACGUAGGGUGCAAGCGUUAAUCGGAAUUACUGGGCGUAAAGCGUGCGCAGGCGGUUAUGUAAGACAGAUGUGAAAUGCCCGGGCUUAGCCUGGGAACUGCAUUUGUGACUGCAUGGCUAGAGUUUGGCAGAGGGGGGUAGAAUUCCACGUGUAGCAGUGAAAUGCGUAGAUAUGUGGAGGAACACCGAUGGCGAAGGCAGCCCCCUGGGUCAAGACUGACGCUCAUGCACGAAAGCGUGGGGAGCAAACAGG
rnacentral:rRNA from 1 species